GCAAGGUAGCAGAGAUGCUACUGAGAUGCUACAGAGCUGGCUUCUGGAGCUGCGAUUAUGUCCACCCUCUACAACCACACUUUCUACUGCAGGUGUUAAAAAAUGAAUCCUAGAAUGACAACAGCCAUAAGGAGAAGCCAAGAAGUUUAUCAAUGAGAGGGCUCAGAGCACUGAGGACUCCAGGCAACUAUGGCUUACUAACUCAUUCUCAGAAGAGAUACAGCAUUGGAAUAGAAAAACUCUCACUACCUGAUUGCUGUAGCUGGAAUCU